GUGCUCACUUCAGCAGCACCUACACUACAACGGCAACAAUACAGACAAGAUUUGUGCCGCCCCUGAGCAAGGGUGUCAGCCAAAUUUGAACUGUUCCAUAUGUUG
ensembl:snRNA U6 U6 spliceosomal RNA